rnacentral:rRNA from 1 species
CCUACGGGGAGCAGCAGUGGGGAAUAUUGCACAAUGGGGGAAACCCUGAUGCAGCGACGCCGCGUGAAGGAAGAAGUAUUUCGGUAUGUAAACUUCUCUCAGCAGGGAAGAAAAUGACGGUACCUGACUAAGAAGCCCCGGCUAACUACGUGCCAGCCGCCGCGGUAAUACGUAGGGGGCAAGCGUUAUCCGGAUUUACUGGGUGUAAAGGGAGCGUAGGCGGUUUAGCAAGUCAGAAGUGAAAGACCGGGGCUCAACUCCGGGACGGCUUUUGAAACUGUUGAACUAGAGUGCAGGAGAGGUAAGUGGAAUUCCUAGUGUAGCGGUGAAAUGCGUAGAUAUUAGGAGGAACACCAGUGGCGAAGGCGGAUUACUGGACUGUAAAUGACGCUGAGGCUCGAAAGCGUGGGGAGCAAACAGGAUUAGAUACCCUAGUAGUC